rnacentral:lncRNA from 1 species
GGUCUGUCAUUGCACUAGCUCUUGCCUCUUCUCCCGGCUCCCCCUGCCUGCAGGUUUAGGGAGGAGAGAGACGACAGGCUACGUGAGUGAACUCACUGCAUUCGGUCAGCAGGUGAGGAGCAAAAGAAGAGAAGAAUUAUAAGAAGAAUUGGAAAGCCUAUAGUAGUUCUGGCCCGCACUACCGCCCCCUCGUUCAUCACUUCGCCUUACUUGCUGAGGGAAUAGAGGUAGUCGCUCUAAGACUGUCAGAAUAAAGGGUUUGAGGCAGU